GCGAGCUACAGAGCUCAUGUGUGCUGAUUGAUGUCAGCAGGGGUGGAGCAAGCCAGCCCCAUCCCGCGCCUGUCAACUUCCUCUUUCAGACUGCGUGAGGACAGUGGCAUCAUUCUUAUUCCAGCUCGUGUUCAGCUGGAAGGAAUUGAGUCCAACAGCCCUACUCUUCAAAAGAGAAAACUGCAGUGUGGAGAGGUUAAGUCCCUGGCCCAAGGUCAUGGAGUUAUUAAGUGUUGGAGCUGGGACUAGAAUUACAUCUUCCACUCCUGGGCUGGUCUCCACGGUGAAGGCUGCUGGACUUCACACUGGUGUAUGGAGGAAAAGUGAUGUAAGGAUAGGAAGAAAAAAAGCUUUGAUCUCCCAAA